ACUCUUAAAAACAAAGAACAGAACCUUAAAACCUAAAAUGAACAGGCASCCAGUGGAGGUGAUAGGCUCCCUCUACAAACUCCAGUUAGCAGUUACAAAGCAAAAAACUACAUGCAAAUCUCUCUGCUCAAGUUCAAAACUUACAUUACUUCGUUCACCAUCCAUGGAAGGAGAAACAAAAACAUGAGGACUAAAAGGAGGAAUGGUGUGGACUUCUUCUGCCUGGCACAUUUUUUUAAACUUCUCUGCACGUGGCAGCGUGCACAGCUACAGUGCAGGUGUACAACCAGGAAGUGUUCAUCAUUAAAGUCAAGGUAAGAACCACAUAGAUAGUGGAAAGACAUGGAAACCUGAUGUUUUGACUUGGAUGUUUACAGAAAUAUUCAUUUAUCACAUUAAUGUAUUGUUGACUGAAUAAUGAAGCAGCACUCAGAUGACAGUAAAAUAAACUCAUCACAACAUUUAAAGACAGUGAAAAUAAAUGUUUGGGUCAGAUACAGAGAUACUGAAUAUUUAAUGUUUAUUACAUCAUGUCCAGAAAUAUAUUUGUGCUCCAGCACUUGCUCUAAAAUAUAUCAGCUCAUAAUUAUUUCUGAUACAAAACUCUUUCUGCC